rnacentral:rRNA from 1 species
CGCGUAGACGGUUUUGUAAGUCAGAUGUGAAAUCCCUGGGCUCAACCUGGGAACUGCAUUUGAAACUGCAUGGCUAGAGUAUGGAAGAGGGAAGUGGAAUUUCCGGUGUAGCGGUGAAAUGCGUAGAUAUCGGAAGGAACACCAGUGGCGAAAGCGACUUCCUGGUCCAAUACUGACGUUCAUGUGCGAAAGCGUGGGGAGCAAACA